UCAUGGGAUAACAAUUAAUAACACUAGCUCAAUUGGUAAAAAGAAAAGAGCACCUUGAAGCGUCAGAACACGAACGAAACCUCAUUGCGAUGGUAGAAGCAACAGAAAUAGGAUCUCUCUUGCCUAUUUAGUUUCAGGAAUUUUUUCCUGCGGUAUUUAGCCCUCGAUGGUCUCAGAGUCUUUUGAGCUCAACUUCUACACUCCAUUAGGACGUAUUUGCCUUUGAAGAAAAACUUUUUGCUUAUUCUUUCGCUUUUUUGCUCUGUUUGAGCAAAAUAAAUGGUGGACAUAGGUGAAGAAGACUUGUGACGUGCCCAGCUUUACAAGCAGGAGAAUGGGAUCAAAAGUAAAAUGGCAGAGAAAUAUCAGUCGCGGAAAACAAAGAAAGAAUCCCAUUUAAAGGACAUUUCAGUUCAUUGCAGAAUUUUUCGAGUGUUUUUCUUUGCGCGGCAGAAGUCUUCCUAGGGAUCGUAUUACUCAAUCAAUGAUGGACCAGCCUUUUUGUUAACCCAAGUUGAUCACAAAUCUAGCAAAGAUGAACUAUGGCCGAGAAGAGGAACAGGGAAACUAGAACACGUGGAACGUCGACCCUGGAGUGAAGUAUCAGCUCGGUCAUGCAUGCCCGGCAGACGGUAUGCUCUGCUUUGUGGUGGGGGCUGGAUACUUGAAAUGACUGUUCUUGAGAACUUUUUCUUUUCUUUUGCUCUGAAACCAGUCAUCUUUUAGCCAAACAUUUUAUGGCGUUCAACUGAUCUCAGAAAAGCGUAUGUAAGGUGUUGACUUAAGUUCUCUGAGUUUUUUUUAAAGUUUUAGGGGGCCUGUUCUAGAGGAACUAGCCAUUAAAAAGUUUAACUCACAUCAAAUAUUCAACCAAUUAGCGCCAAUUAAAUAUUUGAAUUAGGCUUGUUUACCGAAGGCUUUAUUAGAAAGCUUUUCGUUGUUAUAGAAGUCACGGUGGAUAUUAAGACUUAAAGAAUUUGAGGACUCCCUACUAAAAACUGGUUACUAAAGGGAUUGUAAAGCACGUCA